UCCGUCCUCCCAUUGGCUAGGCCGCCUGUGACCCCGCCCCUGAGGAACCAGAGCUGGGGCCCAGGGGGCUGGGCCAGCCUCAGGGGAGGGGCCUUAAAGAGCCCCGGCGGUGUCCAGUGAGCCCAGAGCGGGCAGCGGAGACAAGCAAGAUAGGAAAGGUGGAGGAGCUAAUGUCACAGAGAACUGAAGUAAUUUGUCCAAGACCCUACAGCUUCUGGUGAACCAGGAUUUGAACCCAGGCAAUCAGCACCUGAAUGAGGGCUCCACCAUGCCACUGUACCCCUUCAGAGGGAAUCUUGCCCUUCCUCCCACCUCUUCCCCUCCUGCAAGGCUCCCUAGUCCACUCACCUUGCCGAAGGUCAAUUUCUGCCAGCUGCCCAUGAGUGUUGCCCACGAUCACUGAACUAAGGAGAAGACCAGAGGUGGCCUCUAGGACUGGCCGACGCUGGGGAGAGGCUGGAUCGUAGACACGGACCUGGAGAACACCGAAGCAUCACGAGAGCACCCUCACGCCACAUACCCGUCCCUGGAUUGUCUGUAUCUUCACUCCCUCCUUCAUACACUGCUUUCUUAUGACCCACUCUUAGAGAAACUUUCUCAUCUGAAACGUACCCCCCUCUUGCUCUGAGUGUCAGGGAAGAGUGGGCAGAGGAGAUCUGCUUAGGGAGAGAGGUCCCCCAGGUUAGGGGGGGUGACAGCAUUUCCAGGGUCCACAUGUGUGGGCAUUCCACCCCUCCAUACUCCCAUCUUGGCAUGAAAAGGCAAGCCAGUCCAAUUUUCAGAGACUACUGAAUUUCAGGCAGAGAAAUUUAGCCUGAGCAACAGAGGGGAGAGUAAGCCCUCACAGUGUGUUUUGAACAGCGA